GAACGAAGCACUUUUACAGAUUUCUUCGGAAUGAAGUUUUAGUGACUGAGUGGCGGACGGGUGAGUAACGCGUGGGUAACCUGCCUCACACAGGGGGAUAACAGUUGGAAACGGCUGCUAAUACCGCAUAAGCGCACAGUACCGCAUGGUACGGUGUGAAAAACUCCGGUGGUGUGAGGUGGACCCGCGUCUGAUUAGCUAGUUGGCAGGGCAACGGCCUACCAAGGCGACGAUCAGUAGCCGACCUGAGAGGGUGACCAGCCACAUUGGGACUGAGACACGGCCCAAACUCCUACGGGAGGCAGCAGUGGGGAAUAUUGCACAAUGGGGGAAACCCUGAUGCAGCGACGCCGCGUGAGCGAAGAAGUAUUUCGGUAUGUAAAGCUCUAUCAGCAGGGAAGAAGAAAUGACGGUACCUGACUAAGAAGCACCGGCUAAAUACGUGCCAGCAGCCGCGGUAAUACGUAUGGUGCAAGCGUUAUCCGGAUUUACUGGGUGUAAAGGGAGCGCAGGCGGAAGGCUAAGUCUGAUGUGAAAGCCCGGGGCUCAACCCCGGUACUGCAUUGGAAACUGGUCAUCUAGAGUGUCGGAGGGGUAAGUGGAAUUCCUAGUGUAGCGGUGAAAUGCGUAGAUAUUAGGAGGAACACCAG
rnacentral:rRNA from 1 species